AAUUAAGCUGUGCAAAGUUGAAUGAUGCAUUAGUUCCAUGUCACGCUGGUUCCCAUACCUCAUGAUGAGCGACAGGGUGGUGACUUAGCCGCCAACCUACAUACUGUACGCUUGGCUGGAAUACCUGAGAGGUAGAUUUUCUUCAGAUUCCAGUAGAGCAUGUCAUAAAUAUGAAGGCUUGAACUGCCCAGCUCAAACGCA